AUUGAACGCUGGCGGCAUGCUUUACACAUGCAAGUCGAACGGUAACAGGGAGCUUGCUCCGCUGACGAGUGGCGAACGGGUGAGUAAUGCGUCGGAACGUGCCGAGUAGUGGGGGAUAACGCAUCGAAAGGUGUGCUAAUACCGCAUACGAACUGAGGUUGAAAGUGGGGGACCUUCGGGCCUCACGCUAUUCGAGCGGCCGACGUCUGAUUAGCUAGUUGGUGAGGUAAAGGCUCACCAAGGCGACGAGCAGUAGCGGGUCUGAGAGGAUGGUCCGCCAAACUGGGACUGAGACACGGCCCAGACUCCUACGGGAGGCAGCAGUGGGGAAUUUUGGACAAUGGGCGCAAGCCUGAUCCAGCCAUGCCGCGUGUCUGAAGAAGGCCUUCGGGUUGUAAAGGACUUUUGUCCGGGAGCAAAUGCUGGUGGCUAACAUCCACCGGAGCUGAGAGUACCGGAAGAAUAAGCACCGGCUAACUACGUGCCAGCCGCCGCCGCAGUAA
rnacentral:rRNA from 1 species